CAGUAGCCGCGGUAAUACGGAGGGCGCGAGCGUUACCCGGAUUUACUGGGCGUAAAGGGCGUGUAGGCGGCCUGAGGCGUCCCAUGUGAAAGGCCACGGCUCAACCGUGGAGGAGCGUGGGAUACGCUCAGGCUAGAGGGUGGGAGAGGGUGGUGGAAUUCCCGGAGUAGCGGUGAAAUGCGCAGAUACCGGGAGGAACGCCGAUGGCGAAGGCAGCCACCUGGUCCACUUCUGACGCUGAGGCGCGAAAGCGUGGGGAGCAAACCGGAUUAGAUACCCCUGUAGUCCCUGUCUCUUAUAC
rnacentral:rRNA from 1 species